rnacentral:lncRNA from 1 species
ACCUGCAGAGAGUAGUGCAGACCAGAGCAGGCUGGGUGUAGCGUGAGGUUCUGGAAGGGCUGGAUCCUUGGUGGGCCCCAUCCAGCCUUGUUAUUCCACUCCACCAUCAGCAUGUGGUCUGUGAAGGUCUUCCCAAACAGCAGUGCCUGGCUAGGGGCUGGCUUCUUCUGUGGUUCUUUGGUCAUCUGAAUCUGGAGGUCUGCAGCCUGAGAGAAAGAAAUAAAACAAAACAACAAGAAACAAAACAAAACAAAACAAAACAAAACAAAAAAACAGCACCUCAGGGGCCUGACGUCGCCAACCUGAGAGACUACAGCUUCCAUGGGGCCCAAAAAAAGAAGCAGGUACCCAAGAAAUACAGUGUUAGCUCUUCACAGCACCCAGGAGCAGACAGCUAGACGACCUCUGAGAGAUGCCUACAUGCAGAUAGAUCCUGUCCUCCCUCAAACACGGGGGCACACACCGGGCUUUUCCCUUAGACCCAGGGUUCUCCUUUUACCUUGAAUAUGGAGGACACACAUCUUUUGGACCCACAUAGAAGCCAGGGAACAGGCAGAAGCUUUCGGGCCCAGACCUAGGGUGGAGAGAGAAAUAAAUGUGACCAGGGCAAGAGCCAGAAAGAGCAGAGGUCCUGGCACCUGUCUGGCUUGGGAGGCCCCUGAGGUUGGCUCUGUCACAGUCUCAGUGCAUUCUAGACAGCCUGUGCUCUGCCCAAGUCCCCACCGGGAUGCCUAUCCCUAGAAAACUAAAGUCAGCUCCAGCCCCUCCACCAUCCACCAUGCAGGGCAAAGUCGACAGAGGCGUGCCUCCCUACUAGAGAACUUUGGCCGCAGCUUGUAGACAGCUUAGACGGGACAACGACCAGGGACAGCGAGCAGGAGUAUCAGUCAGCUGGUUGCUGCCGCUGCUACAACCGACCCAGCCACAGCUGGAAUACCCUCAACCUGGGCAGUGACUACUGUGCUCUACACAGUCAGCGGCUGAAGGGCAGUCUCGUGCCAGCCAUUGAAAAUGCUCAAGGCACACAUCCCUGCUGACCUUCCCCAAGACCAUGGAGAGGCAGCUGAGUCCUUAGUUUGAGGAAGACAGGAUAACAGCCUGUUCCCGCUGCUAGAGGCCAGUGAGAUGGAGAGGCUUGCAGAGGUCACUGAUCAAUGGAUCACAGACUCUCAAGCUCAGCAGUGGUGGCCCAGGACUUUAAUUCUAGGACUCAGAAGGCAGAGGCGGGCAGAGUUCGAGGCCAACCUGGUGGUCUACAGAGCAACGGGACAGCUGGGAGUAUGCAGUGAAACCCUACCUCGAAAAGACAAACAAACAAACGAAAUAUCAUAGAUUCUCCAUCUAUGACACCGCUUGACACCAUCGGGCGGAACGCACAACAGUAAACGCCCCCGCCGCGACCAAUCAGCGAUUGCCGCACACCUCUGCCUUGGCCAAUCCACAGCGAUUUUGCAGUUCCACCCCUUACCUAGGGUGUGCGGAAGCUGGGGCGCCCCGUGCCCAACCUGGGGAGUGUCCAGAGCCUGUUCCUCCCCCAGCACACCCCCGCGGUGUCCUUCAGCUCCAAACUAAGGAAAACAAAUGCCAGCCUCCUCCCUCUGACCCACAUGUCUCAACUCUAUGCCGCCUUACAGCGGCAGCCACUGUCACUAUUGCACUGGCAAAGAGAGCAAAACUCUUCUCCCCUAAGGGCCAAGAAUAAAGCAGGCUCUUUUGCGCCUCCUUCAUUAUCUUCCAGUUGACCCUUUAAUUCUUCCCAGUGAGCAUUUUAAUUAGCACAGAGGUGAAGCGGAAGUGUGCUCCCUGGAGACAGGAGUUGGUGCCUGCUGCGAGGCCUCUGGGAGAUAGAGUUCUUUGGAGUCAAGAAUGCACGUGGACUAUCUGGGGAGGAAGCAAUGCUAGUGUGGAUAGACUCGUGUGAAGAACAGGAAAUAAAUGUCUUCUUUCUGGAUG